CCUACGGGUGACAGCAGUGGGGAAUAUUGCACAAUGGGGGGAACCCUGAUGCAGCAACGCCGCGUGGGUGAAGAAGUACUCCGGUAUGUAAAGCCCUGUCAGCAGGGAAGAAAAUGACGGUACCUGACCAAGAAGCCCCGGCUAACUACGUGCCAGCCGCGGCAAUACGUAGGGGGCAAGCGUUAUCCGGAUUUAUUGGGUGUAAGGGGAGCGUAGACGGCAAGGCAAGUCUGGAGUGAAAGCCCGUGGCCCAACCACGGGACUGCUUUGGAAACUGUGUUGCUGGAGUGCAGGAGGGGUAAGUGGAAUUCCUAGUGUAGCGGUGAAAUGCGUAGAUAUUAGGAGGAACACCAGUGGCGAAGGCAGCCUGCUGGACUGUAACUGACGCUGAUGCUCGAAAGUGUGGGUAUCAAACAGGAUUAGAUACCCCUGUAGUC
rnacentral:rRNA from 1 species